GGCUUUGUAACAACCUAAUAAAAUUAAAGAAAUAGUAAUUAUUGGUAGUAUAAUGUUGGAAUUAAGUGCACUUCAAUUUUAGACAAGAAAUCAAUGGUAAUAGUGCAACGUAAAUAGCUUAUAUGUUUAUACGUUUCCAUUAGGCAUCUUGUUGUCACACCUAUUUGUCAUUCGUACACUCUCAAAAUAAUUUUCUGAGUCGUAAAUUCCAAUAUCUAUCGGUGUUGAAUUCAUUACUGCCUCAUGAGCUAUUUCUCGUGCAAAUUUAGAGGUGUUAAGAAAGAAAGCGCCUAAGGUAAGGGCUUUUCCCCAUGCAAUGUUAGGCUAGAUAUUAAAUUAAUAGUUUGUAAGAUAUUGAUAUA
rnacentral:lncRNA from 1 species